GAUGAACGCUGGCGGCGUGCCUAAUACAUGCAAGUCGAGCGAACAGACGAGGAGCUUGCUCCUCUGACGUUAGCGGCGGACGGGUGAGUAACACGUGGAUAACCUACCUAUAAGACUGGGAUAACUUCGGGAAACCGGAGCUAAUACCGGAUAAUAUAUUGAACCGCAUGGUUCAAUAGUGAAAGACGGUUUUGCUGUCACUUAUAGAUGGAUCCGCGCCGCAUUAGCUAGUUGGUAAGGUAACGGCUUACCAAGGCGACGAUGCGUAGCCGACCUGAGAGGAUGAGCAGCCACACUGGAAAUGAGACACGGUACAGACUACGACGGGAGGCAGCAGUGGGGAAUAGUGGACAAGGGGAGAAAGCCUGAUAAAGCCAUACCGAGUGGGUGAAGAAGGUCUUCGGGUUGUAAAGCACUUUUGUUGGGAAAGAAAAGAAGCAGGUGAACAACCCGAUGUGCUGAAGGUACCCAAAGAAUAAGCACCGGCUAACUUCGUG
rnacentral:rRNA from 1 species